rnacentral:rRNA from 1 species
UAUUGGACAAUGGGCGCAAGCCUGAUCCAGCCAUGCCGCGUGAGUGAUGAAGGCCUUCGGGUUGUAAAGCUCUUUUGGCGGGGACGAUGAUGACGGUACCCGCAGAAUAAGCCCCGGCUAACUUCGUGCCAGCAGCCGCGGUAAGACGAAGGGGGCUAGCGUUGUUCGGAAUUACUGGGCGUAAAGCGAGUGUAGGUGGUUGUCCAAGUUGGAUGUGAAAGCCUUGAGCCCAACUCAAGAAAUGCAUUCAGGACUUGAUGGCUAGAGGACCGGAGUGGAUAGUGGAAUUCCCAGUGUAGUGGUGAAAUACGUAGAGAUUGGGAAGAACACCAGUGGCGAAGGCGGCUAUCUGGACGGUUCUGACACUAAGACUCGAUG